GAGAGGGUGAUCGGCCACACUGGGACUGAGACACGGCCCAGACUCCUACGGGAGGCAGCAGUAGGGAAUCUUCCACAAUGGACGAAAGUCUGAUGGAGCAACGCCGCGUGAGUGAUGAAGGUUUUCGGAUCGUAAAACUCUGUUGUAAGGGAAGAACAGAUACGAGAGGUAAUGCUCGUAUCCUGACGGUACCUUGCGAGAAAGCCACGGCUAACUACGUGCCAGCAGCCGCGGUAAUACGUAGGUGGCAAGCGUUGUCCGGAAUUAUUGGGCGUAAAGCGCGCGCAGGCGGCCUUUUAAGUCUGAUGUGAAAGCCCCCGGCUCAACCGGGGAGGGUCAUUGGAAACUGGAAGGCUUGAGUACAGAAGAGAAGAGUGGAAUUCCAUGUGUAGCGGUGAAAUGCGUAGAGAUGUGGAGGAACACCAGUGGCGAAGGCGACUCUUUGGUCUGUAACUGACGCUGAGGCGCGAAAGCGUGGGGAGCAAACAGGAUUAGAUACCCUGGUAGUCCACGCCGUAAACGAUGAGUGCUAGGUGUUGGGGGGUUUCCGCCCCUCAGUGCUGAAGCUAACGCAUUAAGCACUCCGCCUGGGGAGUACGGCCGCAAGGCUGAAACUCAAAGGAAUUGACGGG
rnacentral:rRNA from 1 species